rnacentral:lncRNA from 1 species
UCUAAUGCAGCGACUCCUGUGGACAUUGAGGCUUUAAAGAAGAAAGUGAAGGCAUCGUCAAAGAACAAACCAGAGAAGAAGGUCCAGUGGCAAAGCUGAGUGGCAGCAAGUGGACGGCUUUUUCAUUAUCACUGCUGCUGUGCUGGGCUAGACACCUUCCUGUUAGGUGCACAGCUGCCACCGUCACUGUCAUCACCAUCAUCCUGUGCACCCAUGUACAGCUCUGGAUUUUGUUUAUGCGCCACUUUUUGUGAGUGGUACAAGUUCAUCGAGUUCAAUAAAAAAAAAGUUAUUGUU